rnacentral:rRNA from 1 species
GAUGAACGCUGGCGGCGUGCCUAAUACAUGCAAGUCGAGCGAACAGACGAGGAGCUUGCUCCUUUGACGUUAGCGGCGGACGGGUGAGUAACACGUGGGUAACCUACCUAUAAGACUGGGAUAACUUCGGGAAACCGGAGCUAAUACCGGAUAAUAUUUCGAACCGCAUGGUUCGAUAGUGAAAGAUGGCUCUGCUAUCACUUAUAGAUGGACCUGCGCCGUAUUAGCUAGUUGGUAAGGUAACGGCUUACCAAGGCAACGAUAGGUAGCCGACCUGAGAGGGUGAUCGGCCACACUGGAACUUAGACACGGUCCAGACUCCUACGGGAGGCAGCAGUAGGGAAUCUUCCGCAAUGGGCGAAAGCCUGACGGAGCAACGCCGCGUGAGUGAUGAAGGUCUACGGAUCGUAAAACUCUGUUAUUAGGGAAGAACAAACGUGUAAGUAACUGUGCACGUCUUGACGGUACCUAAUCAGAAAGCCACGGCUAACUACGUG